rnacentral:rRNA from 1 species
GAUGAACGCUGGCGGCGUGCCUAAUACAUGCAAGUCGAGCGAAAAGGCGCGGAGUUUGCUCCGCUGUCGUUAGCGGCGGACGGGAGAAUAACACGUGGAUAAUCUACCUAUAAGACUGGGAUAACUUCGGGAAACCGGAGCUAAUACCGGAUAAUAUAUUGAACCGCAUGGUGCAAUAGAGAAAGACGGUUUUGCUGUCACUUAUAGCUGGUUCCGCGCUGCAUUAGCUAGUUGGUAAGGUAACGGCUUACCAAGGGAACGAUGCGUAGCCGAGCUGAGAGGGGGGUCGGCCACACGGGAAGUGAGACACGGUCCAGACUCCUACGGGAGGCAGCAGUAGGGAAUAUUCGGCAAUAGUCGAAAGCCUUACGGAGCAACGCCGCGUGAGAGAUGAAGGUCUUCGGUGCGUGAAGCUCUGUUAUUAGGGAAGAACAAAUGUGUAAGUAACUAUGCCCGUAUUGACGGUACCUGAUCAGAAAGCCCCGGCUAACUACGUG